rnacentral:rRNA from 1 species
UACGUAGGGUCCGAGCGUUGUCCGGAAUUAUUGGGCGUAAAGAGCGUGUAGGCGGUCCGGUAAGUCAGCUGUGAAAGUCAAGGGCUCAACCCUUGAAUGCCGGUUGAUACUGUCGGGCUAGAGUCCGGAAGAGGCGAGUGGAAUUCCCGGUGUAGCGGUGAAAUGCGCAGAUAUCGGGAGGAACACCAAUGGCGAAGGCAGCUCGCUGGGACGGUACUGACGCUGAGACGCGAAAGCGUGGGGAGCAAACAGG